UACGUAGGCAGCGAGCGUUGUUCGGAAUUACUGGGCGUAAAGAGUGUGUAGGCGGUGCUCUAAGUUCGGUGUGAAAUCUCCCGGCUUAACUGGGAGGGUGCGCCGGAAACUGGAGUGCUCGAGCGUGGGAGAGGAAAGCGGAAUUCCUGGUGUAGCGGUGAAAUGCGUAGAUAUCAGGAGGAACACCUGUGGCGAAAGCGGCGCACUGGACCACAACUGACGCUGAGGCGCGAAAGCUAGGGGGAGCAAACAGG
rnacentral:rRNA from 1 species